rnacentral:miRNA from 1 species
GCUCUUUUUCUGUUGUACUACU